UACGUAGGGGGCUAGCGUUGUCCGGAAUCAUUGGGCGUAAAGAGCGUGUAGGCGGUCCGGUAAGUCCGCUGUGAAAGUCGGGGGCUCAACCCUCGAAUGCCGGUGGAUACUGUCGGGCUAGAGUGCGGAAGAGGCGAGUGGAAUUCCUGGUGUAGCGGUGAAAUGCGCAGAUAUCGGGAGGAACACCAGUGGCGAAGGCGACUACCUGGCCUGUUCUUGACGCUGAGGCGCGAAAGCUAGGGUAGCAAACGGG
rnacentral:rRNA from 1 species